rnacentral:rRNA from 1 species
GGGGAUAACACUUGGAAACAGGUGCUAAUACCGCAUAAUAGUCGACACCGCAUGGUGUUGAUUUGAAAGACGCUUUCGGGUGUCACUGAUGGAUGGACCCGCGGUGCAUUAGCUAGUUGGUGAGGUAACGGCUCACCAAGGCGAUGAUGCAUAGCCGACCUGAGAGGGUGAUCGGCCACACUGGGACUGAGACACGGCCCAGACUCCUACGGGAGGCAGCAGUAGGGAAUCUUCGGCAAUGGACGAAAGUCUGACCGAGCAACGCCGCGUGAGUGAAGAAGGUUUUCGGAUCGUAAAACUCUGUUGUUAGAGAAGAACAAGUAGGAGAGUAACUGCUCUUACCUUGACGGUAUCUAACCAGAAAGCCACGGCUAACUACGUGCCAGCAGCCGCGGUAAUACGUANGUGGCAAGCGUUGUCCGGAUUUAUUGGGCGUAAAGCGAGCGCANGCGGUUUCUUAAGUCUGAUGUGAAAGCCCCCGGCU